UCCCACACGAAGCCUGACGUGCCCAGGCCCAGCUAAGGAAAGCUGCUGAGGCCAGGUGUAUGUCAGGAGUGUCCCGGCAUGGAGGCCUGGAGAGGCCAUGCAUGGAACUGUGAAGGUGAAGCUUAGAUUGUGCUGGAGACUCCAAGAUGUUGGAGAUGCCAUCUGUGGGGUACCUUCCACGGAGAGCUGCAUGCUGCCUGUGGAACCAGCCUAAGAGAAAGGUAUCGUGUUGCAGUCAACAAAGCUGGAAGGAGCUGGAGCUCUGAAGAUCGAUUUGACAUCAGACAUGGAAGAUAUAUAAUUAGGAAUUUGCCCUGUGGGUUUUGGUCUUGCUUUGGUCCUUAGUAUGCUCUCAUUCCUACCUUUUCGGAUGAUAAAAUAUACUCUGUGCCACUG
rnacentral:lncRNA from 1 species